CAAAACAACACGUCCGUCGGUACCGCUGGAGGUAAACGCAGUAAUAUUGCCAGGAGUCCCAGCGUAAGGUCGAAGGGUUGCAAUCAUAUUUUGAUGAACGGUUGGUAAAGACGAAAUAGACUGGCUGGAGCCCUUCAAAUCCAUGUUACGGAAUGUGCUACGAAGAGCAGUAAAUGAAACAGGACCCUCUUCCUCUCUACCUUCACCAGUAUUUCCUGUGUGAGUGAAUGAGGUCUUGGAAGUUCCGGCAUCCAAAUCGCGAGUAUGGGCCCAACCGGACUCAUUGCCUUGCAAAAGAAUAGGAGAAUAGUUAUAGCCAGCAGCCACAAUGGCACUCUCAUUCGCCCAAAGAAGAGAACGCAAAGGCAAUUGAGAUAAUUUGACAGUAAUUAGAGCUCGUGGGGGUUGCUCGGGAGCACUGGGAUAUGCAAUCGUAACAGAAGAAUCAUGGCCAGCAUACGCUAAGGCAUUACCCGAAGGUGAAAAUCCAACGGCGUGAACCCAACCACCAGAUGGGUAUUCAGCGCAAACAGUGUUGAAAGGUAAACGUGAACCCCAAACGCUGGCUUCUGGUUUGGCAUCGACAUCACGAACAUAAGCAGAUAAAACGUAUGCCUUACGGUCUGCACAGCCGGCAGCUAAUAAAACGUUAUUAGGAUGCCAGUCCAAAGACAAAAUGGUACUACGAAGCGGACGUUUCAGAUGUUUGCUGACCCACCAGUCAUUUUCUUGUUCAAAGUAGCAAACAGAAAUGACACGAGCACCACUACCAACAGCAAACUUGUCCUCGUUAGGCGACCAACGAACAAACGUAGCGGCACGAUUCAAACGAAGUAAGACGAGGGUCUGCUUCCAAGUCCCAUCAGGACGUUUCUCAUAAACAUAGGCAUUACGGUCUUGAGAGCAAGUUACGAUUCGAUUGGAUUUCGGAGCCCAAUCGACACAAGUUACAAUCUUAUCGUGAUCGCUAAAUGUUCGGGCAUGCUUCCACCCAUUUCCAUCUUGCUCGUAAAGUUCAACUUGGUUCGUAGCAGUUGUGGUGACAAACUCUAUAUCAAAUUUGUUAAAAUCUACUUAUUUAGGUCCUAUACUGUACCUGUUCUUUGACUAUUGAACGCGUGUUCGUAAGAGGGUUUAGGAAGAAUGUGUAAAACUUGAGAGGUAGCCAUUUUUCAGUAACAGGACUAGCAGUCUACUGUUUUGCGGAUGAUAGACGAUAUCCAAGGCUGAAUCGAUAUUGGUGAUGACGAGAGCAGUAGAUACAUUAACAAAAAACGUUAGAGUACUUUAUAUACGAUAACGCAUAUCGAUGGUAUCGGUAACUCCUUUGUUUACAUUUUAAAGGUUUGUAAAUAUUACAACUCAAUUAAGACUAAAAAAAAUUCCAUUAAAUAAAAUUUGAUUUUCUUGCAUAUCUUUUAGAGAUUUUUUAUUUUUAAAAUAUGAGGUGGAUACAAGAUUUCUAUUUGCGUUGAUUGUGGAAGAACAAUAG